GGGAAAGUCCAAAGGUUUAUGCUUGGAGGGGAAAGAGGAAGAGAAUAAAUACCCUUUGAGCACCUACUAUGGGCUGGGCACUGGCGAGUGACUUUCUACCUCGUUCUUUUUGAUCCACCGCUGCUAGAAGGGCAGGACGGACAUAAACAACAGGCGCUGUGCUCGGGAUCUGGGACACGACGGCUCGUCUGAAUGAUGCCUGCGGAUCACACCAUCAAACUCCUAGUGGCUGCAAACUCAACUUUGGACGCCAAAGCCCGGUGUUUCUUGUGAAUCCAAACAACCAAGUUUCUUGAAGCAGCGUGAAAGCACCCUGGUGCCAUCACUGCAAGGCCGCGACACGGGCCUUGAGACCCGUGCUCUAUCACGGGUCCAUCUUUGGAAAAGGGAUGACCCUUUAUUGAGCACCCCCUUUCUGCAGGGAGCUAGACCUUUCCAAAAGAGUUGCUUGGGCCCGGGCCCUCCUACCCUCCUCUUUUGAGCCCGUGUCACUCAGGCUUUUGCCCCCACGGCCCCAGGAGAACUGCUCUGGCUGAGGCCGCCGUGACCCCGGCCAUCCUCACAGCCAGGGGCUGAUUCUCUUCCUUCGUGGGAGUCCCCUUGUCAGCAGCAUUUGAUACCAUCAGGUCGCUCUUUCUUGCAACAGGAGGGACGGCUUGGCUUCCAGAACGCCGUGUCUUCAGCUCUGUCUCCACGCUGCAGGACUCCUUACGGCACCUUCUGGCUUGACCGAAGUUUGGCAAACCAGAACCCGCAAACCAGAUCCAGCUUGCCCAUCCUUCUCUCUCUUUCAAAUAAAUAAAACAUUUUUAAAAGA